GACAGAGGGUGCUAGCGUUGUUCGGAAUUACUGGGCGUAAAGCGCGUGUAGGCGGCCCGAUAAGUCCGCUGUGAAAGUCGGGGGCUCAACCCUCGAAAGCCGGUGGAUACUGUCAGGCUAGAGUACGGAAGAGGCGAGUGGAAUUCCUGGUGUAGCGGUGAAAUGCGCAGAUAUCAGGAGGAACACCCAUUGCGAAGGCAGCUCGCUGGGACGUUACUGACGCUGAGACGCGAAAGCGUGGGGAGCGAACAGG
rnacentral:rRNA from 1 species